UGAAGAGCUUGAAGAUGUAUCUGACCUUGAAGAAGACCAUGAUGCACGUAGUCGCACAAGUAUUCAGACAGAAGGGAAGACUGACAGGGCCAAGAUGACUCAACUGCCAGAGGCUGAAAAAGAAAAGAUAGCUGAGCAAGUGGCUGACUU